rnacentral:lncRNA from 1 species
GACCCCAGGACGCGGACGUCACAUCAACCAAGCCUGCAGCCUCUCCCUCGGUUCCGGGAAGAUGCUGGCGGGGCAGACGCUGUCCAUCUGUGUGAUUCAGCCCUGUCCUGGUGCUGCGCCUGGAGUGGGGGUCCAGCCCCCGGUGGGCAGCACAGGCUGGGCCACCUCAGAGGAGGCCAGUCUGCAGACGGGAAACCGAGGGGACAGCCACAAGACGGCACAGUGCCUGGCAGUGGGUGUGGAGUCCUGGCUGUGAGCAGGGCUGGGGCUCUGGUUCAAAUCCCCACACCUGCUGGGCACCCUGGGGCUGGUUGCUUGUCCUCUCUGAGCCCCUCUUCUCCAGGCACUCACUCGCCAGGGAUUGUGGCAGGACGGGCACUCCUGGGCAGAGGCAUUGCCUGGUCUUCAGCUGGGGUAACGGGGGACAGGCGUCCAGUCACCGGCUGUGGCCCCAUGAGGCUGCGACUUGCGUGAGCCCCACGCACCUUCUGAGCUGCAGUCAUUCCUCGGGCCCCUGGGCUCACUGGCCAUCUGUGCCCACUAGUCUCCCGCCAGCUCCCCCCAGGCGGCACCUGCCCACAGCUCGUCCUCAUUCGUCCUCAGCCUGAGACUGAGCCCCACAAGGUGCCAGCUGCCAGGAGCUUGCGGCCUCGGCCAGCCCCACUGUCCAGAUGCAGUGUGCCUCUGGCUGGGAAGGGAGCCACCGGGGCGCUAACGUCCGGACCGUGUUUUGGAUGAGGCAGGCUGGGGCAGGACUGAGGGGACAAAGAGGUAGUCUGAGCACUGGACAUUGAACAUCACCAAGGCCUCUGGACAGUGGCAGGGGCUGUCCCUGCACAAGGCCCUGGGAUGAACUGAGGCUGAGGCCACUGUGCUCCCUCACCGUCCAGGUGCCUGUGUGGCCCUGCGGCCACCCAC